GGAAGUAAAAGUCGUAACAGGGUUUCCGUAGGUGAACCUGCGGAAGGAUCAUUAAUGAGUUGUCAUGGGGUUCGAUGCUGGCAGCCAAUUUUUGGAUGCAUGUGCUUGCCCUAACAAUCAUCUUCCAAACACCUGUGCACAUUUUUGAGGGAGUCUUGAGUUGGUUGCCGCUCUUGGGUGAUUUUCUCACAUUCCCUUAAAUCAUUAUACGCUAUUAACAAUGUUGAACGUGCUCUGUGCCGCAAGGCUAUUAAUAUAAUACAACUUUUAACAACGGAUCUCUUGGCUCUC
rnacentral:misc_RNA from 1 species